rnacentral:rRNA from 1 species
UACGUAGGUGGCAAGCGUUGUCCGGAUUUACUGUGCGUAAAGCGCGCUCAGGCGGUCGUUCAUGUCGCGUGUGAAAGCCCCCGGCUCAACUGGGGAGGGUCACGCGAUACUGAUCGACUCGAAGGCAGGAGAGGGUAGUGGAAUUCCCGGUGUAGUGGUGAAAUGCGUAGAUAUCGGGAGGAACACCAGUGGCGAAGGCGACUACCUGGCCUGUGCUUGACGCUGAGGCGCGAAAGCGAGGGGAGCAAACGGG